GGCAGAGGAGCUAUGCUGUAAUAUACCAGAUUUUGGUAUAAAAAUAAAAGUAAAUAAAAAUAGUGUGAGAUACUAUUUUUAUUUGGUUUUUGAGAAACAAAGUAUAAGUCUAUAAUGACUUGUGCUGUAAUCGGAAUGAAAACAUAAGAUUUAUAAUUUUCUGUUGAAAACGAGACAGAUAAAUUAGCAAAAAAUACAGAGUCUCAGAAAAUUAUGAAAAUUGGAGGAUAAGUCAGAAAUAUUUUUAUGAGGCUAGAUUUAAAGUUUCAUAUUUUUCUGACACCCGAAAGUUGAGAAAUAAAAUCCGAAAUCUAUCUGAUAAGGAUUACAGUUCGGUACAGUUUUCGGUGACCAAACGUGGUCGAAACUGAAAACUUAAAGUAUAUUCUUGUUCGGUACGUUAAACCGAAUAUGACUGUCAAAUUUGAG
rnacentral:lncRNA from 1 species